rnacentral:rRNA from 1 species
GAGAGAAGGGCCCGAGAAUGGGUACUGAGACACGGACCCAGGCCCUAUGGGGCGCAGCAGGCGAGAAACCUUUGCAAUGUGCGAAAGCACGACAAGGUUAAUCCGAGUGUCUCCUGCUAAAGGAGUCUUUUGUCAGUUGUAGAAUCACUGGUGAAUAAGGGGUGGGCAAGUUCUGGUGUCAGCCGCCGCGGUAAAACCAGCACCUCGAGUGGUCAGGAGGUUUAUUGGGCCUAAAGCAUCCGUAGCCGGUUGCAUAAGUUUUCGGUUAAAUCUAUGCGCUUAACGUAUAGGCCGCCGAAAAUACUGUGCAGCUAGGGAGUGGGAGAGGUACACGGUACUCGAUAGGAAGGGGUAAAAUCCUUUGAUCUAUUGAAGACCACCUGUGGCGAAGGCGGUGUACCAGAACACGUUCGACGGUGAGGGAUGAAAGCUGGGGGAGCAAACCGGAUUAGAUACCCGGGUAGUCCCAGCUGUAAACGAUGCAGACUCGGUGAUGCAUUGGCUUGUGGCCAAUGCAGUGCCGCAGGGAAGCCGUUAAGUCUGCCGCCUGGGAAGUACGUACGCAAGUAUGAAACUUAAAGGAAUUGGCGGGGGAGCACCACAAGGGGUGUAGCCUGCGGUUCAAUUGGAGUCACGCA